rnacentral:rRNA from 1 species
UACGUAGGGAGCAAGCGUUGUUCGGAGUUACUGGGCGUAAAGAGUGCGUAGGCGGUGCCCUAAGUCUGUUGUGAAAUCUCCCGGCUUAACUGGGAGGGUGCGGUGGAAACUGGGGUGCUUGAGUGUGGGAGAGGUAAGCGGAAUUCCUGGUGUAGCGGUGAAAUGCGUAGAUAUCAGGAAGAACACCGGUGGUGUAGACGGCUUACUGGACCGCGACUGACACUGAGGCACGAAAGCGUGGGUAGCAAACAGG